UUUCGGUCGAGGACUCGGGAGAGCGAGCCCAUGAUCGUCGGUGGCGUUGGUAAAGGGGUUUUUUUCUUUUUCUUUUUAUAUUCGAGAAGGGGGAACGGUGGGGUUUGAAAGUUAUAUGGCGAUUUUGAAAGUCGGGUUUUGGGAAGUUUUUUGGGAGUGUGUGAGUGAGUUGAUAUAGAAGAGGUGGACGGAUAGAUCUAAGUAUUUUUGGUAAUAUAGUAUGAUGUUAACAAGGUUUUCCAUAGUUAAAUUCUAGGAAUUUUUCUUGUUGUAAGAAUUGGUGUUUCUUGGUGAAUUUGUGGGAGGAGAGGGCAAUUAUCGAUGGAGUACAAGGAAAUUGGCCUAGAUAUUGGAUACAUAUUGUUUGUGGAGUUUGAAGUUUGAAUCCUUGCUUAAGAUGAAACU
rnacentral:lncRNA from 1 species